AGCGAACGCUGGCGGCAGGCUUAACACAUGCAAGUCGAACGGAUCCUUCGGGAUCAGUGGCAGACGGGUGAGUAACACGUGGGAACGUGCCUUUUGGUUCGGAACAACUCAGGGAAACUUGAGCUAAUACCGGAUGUGCCCUUCGGGGGAAAGGAUUUAUCGCCAUUAGAGCGGCCCGCGUCUGAUUAGCUAGUUGGUGAGGUAAAGGCUCACCAAGGCUUCGAUCAGUAGCUGGUCNGAGAGGAUGAUCAGCCACACUGGGACUGAGACACGGCCCAGACUCCUACGGGAGGCAGCAGUUUCGAAUCAUUCACAAUGGGCGAAAGCCUGACGCAGCAACGCCGCGUGUGUGAUGAAGGUCUUCGGAUCGUAAAGCACUGUCGCGGAGGGAAGAUACGCCACGCGCUAACAUCGCGGGGCUAAGACGGUACCUCGAGAGGAAGCACCGGCUAACUCUGUGCCAGCAGCCGCUAGU
rnacentral:rRNA from 1 species